AGACACCGGAAAUAGAGUGGCCGUGAAAUCUUAAAUGUUGUAGUAAUUCUAGUGUUACUUCGCUGGCGGAUCCGCGAGGUGGUUUGGAACUUUUCCAUCCGGGACUCUUUGGCUUCCGUAGGCGGAAGUCGCCGUCUGGCGUGCCGUGUGCAGAGCUCUCUGAGGCGCUGUGUGAGGUGAACCGCGGCGGCGCAAGGAGGGACGCUGUACUGCGCGGAGCGCUGGUGUGUGCUGAGGGACGGGCUGAGGUGGCUGCAGGGGUCGUCGGAUAGGGCGGGGGUCGUUUGGUUCGUAUUCACCCUGUUCUCGACGGUUUUCCGAGUCUUGUGUGUUUUGUCACUUCCCAGUGUGCUCUCCUGUGGAAUUUCACAAGUCGUCCAUGAAAGUUGUCAUCUGAGGACACUGGGGGCAGGACUCAACUAAUAACAAGAGCGGGGCUUUGAUGUGUCCUCUACAUGCCUACAUCUGAUCUUCCAUACAGGCCCUUACCAACUGAUGCUCGGAUGUUGGGCCGUUGUCUUUUAGUGAUUUCUGGGGUCUCUGAGACCACUGAAAUCUUUCAGGCCUCAGGAUUUCCUGCUGUGCCCUUCUUCAACAUCCGUGACACUUGAGGGGUUUGGAUUUGCUACCAAGAAAGCCUCAAGAUAGAAGACAAGGGACAUGGCUGAAGAUACGAUUUUCCAGCAGAGGACCCAGCCAUUGGGUGCACAGGAGCAGCAUGAGUCACGUGAGAGGUGGAUGUCUUUUGAGGAUGUGACUGUGAACUUCAGCCAGGAGGAGUGGCAACAGUUGGACUCUGCUCAGAGACUCCUGUACCAGGAGGUGAUGCUGGAGAUCUACAGCCACCUCUUGGC